ACUCUCCUAGUUGGCUGCAGGCCUCGUGUCUGUCAGUAUCUUGGUGGGAGUGGAGGUAAAGCUGAGUUUGUUUAUUUGUUUUGCUACUUAGAUGAGAGGGCUCCAAGCCAGGUCCUUAGAGAGGUUACCUAGAAGGGGCUGGUUUAUAGACAGAAGUGAGCUGUUAUAUUUCGCAGGUGUGUGGCAGGCUCAUCAUUAAUUCAGCAGUGCUACACCAAUUCAAAUUAACCAAAAACUUCCCCAGGCCUGACUCUGAGGCCUCCUUUGUUAAUAAUUCAUCUUGCCUGUAGGCUCUGCCUUUCCUGGAUUCUGAAGUCAGGCAAAUAUACUGUACCUUCCAAUUGUGAGAAGAGGCCCAAGAACCAAAGAAGAGAUUGUGAUUUUAUGUUUGAAGGAGUCAACUAAAAUAGGCCCCUGUAACUAGCACCUGUUUUCCAGGGCACCACUCAUGAGGCUGGAGAGCAGGGGAUGUUCCAGAGGGUGAGGGGCAAAGGGACAGGCGUCCCUUUCCCUGGCUGUAGGUGGGGCUCCUGCAGAACACCGUGGCUGCAGAGGGGAGGUGUCCCACCCUCCCGUGGGGUUCUUGCCGCGUGGUAUAAGUCCCCCAAAUCCCCACAGAUACUCCAGCUAGCUAGGUAUUUAGACCAGUGGUUAUCAAUCUUAGCUACACACUGGAUUCACAGGAAGCUUUAGAAAAUACUGGUGAUACCUGGUUCCCAUGCCCAGAGCACCUGAUUUAAAUGGCCUGGGGUACAGCCUGGGCAUCAGGAUUUUGAAAAGCCCCCCAGGUAAUUCUGAUAUACAGUUGAGGUUUUGAACUAUUUCUCUAGAGUGUUUUGUUGCUGCCUGGGAAGGAAAUGGUUCCUGUUUUUAAACCAAAGUUUAGGUGCUGUGCCUGCCUCUCACUGCCAGCUAGGCUGCAAGCCCUCAGUUUCAGAGGGUGAGAUUUUUGCAUAAUUAGGUGAGGAAGAGGCACUGCAAAGAUGGGGUUUCUUUUACUUGGCAGUGGAAAAGAUAACCGUUUCUGAUAUUUCUUGGGAGGAAUAGAAAUAUCCUAUAAGAAAAUACACUGGGAUGGGGUUGGUGUGGGGGAUGGCUUGCUCCAUGGCCUGAACAGCCAUCUCUCUCCCUUCUUCCCCCCAGUUCUCCUUCCUCACCUGCCUCCAGAAAAUACACCUUUGGUUUGGUCCCUGCAGAAACACUUCCUGUACUUUGUGUCUUGAAUCCACCUUGUAUCUUGAGGCCUCUGUAUAUCUUCCUGUGUCAUUUUGCUGGAGUCUGUAAGCCCUCAGAAGACAGGAAUCCCUUCUAAGAAACUCCUUUUACUGAACCCCAGAGAGGGUGAUCAGGGAUAAAUGCUUCAGGGUGGUGGGCACGGCCCCUCUUAUCCUUACGGGAAGCAUCUUGACUGGAUAUUCAGGUCAGGGACAGUGUUCCUCAGCACGAGGCUGGCCUUCAGCACAGAACUCUCCAGGGAGGGGCAGGGCUGGGUGAGCAAGUGCAGGGGUGGACUGAGGAGGGUGAGGCAGGCUGAGCUGGGGACGCGUCCUCCAAAGGUUUCAGUCUUUCAUUCUUCUAGGUGCCUUUUUACCUUCAAUGACACUUUUCCACUCUCUUUUCUCCCUUGGAUCACUUCUGGAAAGGGUUUUAAAGAGCUCUGCCAUAUUCUGACCCCAUUCUGACCUCUUACAGUGCUUUUAUUCUUACCCAAAGAGAGAUCACGCUUGAGCUCCUAAGAGAAUUUCUUUUUCCUGUCUCCAAGGAAAGGAGUUGAUGUGUUUCCCGGUCGUCGAGAGAUUGAGGCCCUCAUCUGGGAAGGGCUGAGCUUGCUUCUAUAAAUAGCCUUGUCAGAACAACCUGUGUGGCUGCUCAGUUUGUGCCUGGCUAGAACAGAGCUUCAGGGAAGCCUCACUGCUGUGCGAUGCCACCACCUGGGAGUUGCCACUGGUGGUGGCCAUUUAAGGCUUUGACAUCUGAGCGGGAACACAGGCGUUCUGAACUCUUGGCAUGUUAAACAGGCUCUGGGACCCCAGGACUCUGGCACCGGCCCAGAGCAUUGGGGUGAGUGCUCUGAGGACAAUACAGCUUUCUGCUUGCAGAAUGUCAGAGCACCUCGCUUUAUAGAUGGAGAAACUGAGGCCCAGAGAGGUGGAAGGACGUCACUAGGCCACACAUCUGUUUGGGUAGAGCCAGGACUAACACCCCUCCAGGACUCCUUGUCAAGUUCUCUUCUUCUUGGUCUUUUCCUACUCAGUAGAUGACCCAGGAUAGACCGUAGGUCUUGUCCUCUCAGAACCUUCUACAAAAUGGAACACUCAACUUCAGGCUGGGUCAGGUUUUGAAAGGUCCUUCCCAUCCCUCCAUUCCUUAAGGCAUGCUAGCUAAGGGGACAUUGACCCUACACUUGAUUUUAGCAGGUAGUCCCUGUAAUCUUACAACUUUAGUGACUUAAAAGUUCUUCUUGGUGUCUAUCCUACAACUGAAAUAUGUUAAUAGAUAAACCUCUAUCUUCCCACUGGAGACUCCUCCUCAUGUGUGUUUUUCUCUGUGGAUACAAAGAACAGAAGGUUGACUAUAUCUACAGUUAAAUAUUUUUCUUUUUCUUUUUUUUUUUUUUUUUUUGAGAUGGAGUUUUGCUCUUGUUGCCCAGGCUGGAGUACAAUGACGCGAUCUCGGCUCACUGCAACCUCUGCCUCCCAGGUUCAAGCAAUUCUCCUGCCUCAGCCUCCUGAGUAGCUGAGAUUACAGGCACCCACCACCACACCCAGCUAAGUUUUGUGUUUUUUUUUUUGAGUAGAGACAGGGUUUCACAAUGUUGGCCAGGUCUUGAACUCCUGACCUCAGGUGAACCCCUACCUCGGCCUCCCAAGGUGCUGGGAUUACAGGAGUGAGCCACCGCACCCGGCCUAUAGUUAAAUAUUAUACUUAAGUACAUAGAAAACACACUCCCAUGCCCCCAUCUGCCUAGGCUUUCUUGGGUCUACAGUGACACCAUUGAAUUCUUUUUCUUCAAGGAAGAUGCAAGAGGAAGAGGGUCCUGGAGGUCAGAUCCUACACUGCUCCCUGUUCCCUGCCUGUAAUUGUUCCAUCUCCUCCUGCCUGGCCAGUCAGCUCCUCCCUGGACAGGAUCCCUGUGGUACUCCAGGGGCACUAGCCAACCCCACAGCCCUGGGACAGUUGGGGAGGUCCCCAUCUCUCUGCUAGCAGCAGGCACACCCAGGCCUCAGGCAUGGCACCUGCCCCUCACCACCUCGGCAUGAGAGAAAAGAAAAGAUUACUAAAAAUAAGUUAGCUCCAAAUUUCAGCAAUAAAAAUAAAACUAGAAUCUUUGGAA